GCUUUCGGGCAGCAGGAACCGGCGAACGGGUGCGUAACACGUAUGCAACCUACCUAUAACUGGGGGAUAGCCCGAAGAAAUUCGGAUUAAUGCCCCAUAUGCUCGUACGGCCUCAUGGUCGAGCGAGGAAAGCUCCGGCGGUAAGAGAUGGGCAUGCGUCCUAUUAGUUAGUUGGUAAGGUAACGGCUUACCAAGACAGCGAUGGGUAGGGGCCCUGAGAGGGGGAUCCCCCACACUGGUACUGAGACACGGACCAAACUCC
rnacentral:rRNA from 1 species